rnacentral:lncRNA from 1 species
UUAACAUUCAUGUUUAUUUAAUUGAGUUACAACUAAGGUUAUAUAUGAGUUAUUUAUACUAUCUUAGAAUUUGCUGCUUUAGAGGCAUGGCAUUUAGUGUCACAUUGUAGGUUUAAAUUGGUUGUAGAAUUUAUAUUGUAACUUGCAUAUUUAUUUAGUUGAGUUUAAUCUAAGUUUAUAUUUGAUGUGUUUGUAUUAUUUUAGAAUUUACUGUUUUAGACACGUGGCAUGUGGUAUCCCACUACAUUUGGUAUAAGCUGUCAUACUAAUUUGCUGUUUUAGACAUGUGACUUGUAAUAUCCCACUAAUUAGCUAUUUUAAACAUGUGACAAGUGGUAUGACAUU